GCCAGGGUAGCUCAAUGGUGGAGCACAGCAUUCAUAACGCUGCGGUUGUGGGUCCGAUCCCCACCCCUGGUA
rfam:Candidatus Levybacteria bacterium RIFCSPLOWO2_01_FTLL_39_24 rifcsplowo2_01_scaffold_154, whole genome shotgun sequence.